UGGGGAAUAUUGCACAAUGGACGGAAGUCUGAUGCAGCAACGACGCGUGCGGGAUGACGGCCUUCGGGUUGUAAACCGCUUUUUCUCAUGACGAAGUUUUUUGACGGUAGUGGGGGAAGAAGCACCGGCUAACUACGUGCCAGCAGCCGCGGUGAUACGUAGGGUGCGAGCGUUGUCCGGAAUUAUUGGGCGUAAAGAGCUUGUAGGCGGUUUGUCGCGUCGAUAGUGCAAACUCAGUGCUUAACGCUGAGCCUGCUGUUGAUACGGGCAGACUAGAGGAAGGUAGGGGAGAAUGGAAUUCCCGGUGGAGCGGUGGAAUGCGCAGAUAUCGGGAUGAACACCGGUGGCGAAGGCGGUUCUCUGGGCCUUACCUGACGCUGAGAUGCGAAAGCGUGGGGAGCGAACAGG
rnacentral:rRNA from 1 species